UAGCCUCCACAUUGACUCUGUACCGUAACACCCUGUAUAUAGCCUCCACAUUGACUCUGUACCGGUACCCCCUGUAUAUAGUCUCCACAUUGACUAUGUACCGGUACACCCUGGAUAUAGCCUCCACAUUGACUCUGUACCAGAACCCCCUGUAUAUAGCCUCCACAUUGACUCUGUACCAGAACCCCCUGUAUAUAGCCUCCACAUUGACUCUUUGGAGUCUAGUUUUCAUAAGUGUGUUGGUCUGUUCCCACCCAGAGAGAGGUAGCAGGUCUGUUCCCACCCAGAGAGAGGUAGCAGGUCUGUUCCCACCCAGAGAGAGGUAGCAGGUCUGUUCCCACCCAGAGAGAGGUAGCAGGUCUGUUCCCACCCAGAGAGAGGUAGCAGGUCUGUUCCCACCCAGAGAGAGGUAGCAGGUCUGUUCCCACCCAGAGAGAGGUAGCAGGUCUGUUCCCACCCAGAGAGAGGUAGCAGGUCUGUUCCCACCCAGAGAGAGGUAGCAGGUCUGUUCCCACCCAGAGAGAGGUAGCAGGUCUGUUCCCACCCAGAGAGAGGUAGCAGGUCUGUUCCCACCCAGAGAGAGGUAGCAGGUCUGUUCCCACCCAGAGAGAGGUAGCAGGUCUGUUCCCACCCAGAGAGAGGUAGCAGGUCUGUUCCCACCCAGAGAGAGGUAGCAGGUCUGUUCCCACCCAGAGAGAGGUAGCAGGUCUGUGGCUGGGGGAGGACUGUGACUCCAGCAUGGUCUGCAGCAGGGGGAUUUAACUAUUUCCCUACCAAGUGUGGACCCUGCUGGUUUUCUGUUCUGUCUGAUAAUGAAUUUCACACACCUGGUGUCACAGGUCUAAAUCAGUCCCUGAUUAGAGGGAAACAAUGAAGAAAAAAAGCAGUGGAACUGUCUUUGAGGUCCAGAGUUGAAUUUGACGGGUCUGCAGUGUUAAUCCUAACAGUGUGACUGUACAGUAUUAAU